UGCAAGUCGAGCGGUAACAGGCGUAGCAAUACGUGCUGACGAGCGGCGAACGGGUGAGCAAUGCUUCGGAAUCUGCCCUUUAGUGGGGAAUAACCAACCGAAAGGUUGGCUAAUACCGCAUACGCCCUUCGGGGGAAAGCGGGGGACCGUAAGGCCUCGCGCUAUUGGAUGAGCCGAAGUCGGAUUAGCUAGUUGGUAGGGUAACGGCCUACCAAGGCGACAAUCCGUAGCUGGUCUGAGAGGACGACCAGCCACACUGGGACUGAGACACGGCCCAGACUCCUACGGGAGGCAGCAGUGGGGAAUAUUGGACAAUGGGGGCAACCCUGAUCCAGCGACGCCGCGUGUGUGAAGAAGGCCUGCGGGUUGUAAAGCACUUUUAGUGGGGAUGAAAAGCCUAGGGAUAACACCCUUGGGUCUUGACCUAACCCACAGAAAAAGCACCGGCUAACUCUGUGCCAGCAGCCGCGGUAAUACAGAGGGUGCAAGCGUUAAUCGGAAUUAUUGGGCGUAAAGAGCUCGUAGGCGGUCUGUCGCGUCGGCUGUGAAAACUCGGGGCUCAACCCCGAGCUUGCAGUCGAUACGGGCAGGCUGGAGUUCGGCAGGGGAGACUGGAAUUCCUGGUGUAGCGGUGAAAUGCGCAGAUAUCAGGAGGAACACCGGUGGCGAAGGCGGGUCUCUGGGCCGAUACUGACGCUGAGGAGCGAAAGCGUGGGGAGCGAACAGGAUUAGAUACCCUGGUAGUCCACGCCGUAAACGUUGGGCGCUAGGUGUGGGAUCCCUUCCACGGGUUCCGUGCCGCAGCUAACGCAUUAAGCGCCCCGCCUGGGGAGUACGGCCGCAAGGCUAAAACUCACAUGAAUUGACGGG
rnacentral:rRNA from 1 species